GGCCUGUAAAGCAGAGUGAGGGAACCAGGAUAGAGAAGGCAAGUCGGGGUCCUGUGGUCGCUGAAGAAUUUGAAUGAAAUCAGUAAACAGGCUGUACAGGAAGCAUGGUGAUGGCAUCUGCAUGGCGCCUGUGGAGGCCCCAGGGAGCUUUUACUCGUGAUGGAAGGCACAGAGGGAGUAGGCACAUCACAUGGUCCGAGGAGGAGCAAGAGAAAAUGGGAGUGGGGCUCUUUGUCCUGGGAAGAGUUUGCUGCAUCUUCCAGUUUCAGCAAUCAAAGAAGCAAAGUUCCCUGCAGUUCUUCAAGGAAUCUUGAGAAUUCAGAAGGUCUUGGGGUGGCUGCAUCCAUCCUGCAGACAAAUGCCAAUCAGCAGAGGGGCCAUUCCCAGGGACACAUGUCUGGCUGACUUGGGCCUUGGCCAGUUGUAACUUGCAUUCACCAAAUUGAUAAUUGUGAUUUGGAGUGAUGUCAGCAAGAUGGCAGAAUAAGAGGACCCUGGCUUCACUACCAUCUCCUGCCGCCUGCCACACACAGAAAGUUCAGCUAGCAAACACCUGCAGACAAGAAUACCUUGGUGAAAACCCUAACAUGUGGGAAUAAGCCAGAGUCAGCUGUGUGGUCCAGAAAGGAAUAAACACUUCAUUAAAGGGUAAGAAAAACAAUCCCAUGUUGACCAUGUCACUCCUCCUCCUCCCCUAAGUCAGCACAGCACCUCGCAGAUGGAAUUCCCCAGAAACUACAGUUCCUACAGAGCAAAAGGAGAAUCAGAGGCAGACAUGAAGCUUCCCUAGCAUUCUGAGAUGCUUCCCAGGAAGCCCACUCUGCUCUCACCUCAGGAGGAACAGAGGGGAAAUGGCAUGGCUAGACCACCUUGGGUGAGAUAGAAGCAAAGCGAGGAGGCAUAGUCCACAGUGACAAGCAGACAGAUCCUGGCUGUAGCUCUGCACACCUGCCAGCAGUAGCACCCAAUCAAUAGUACCAGCUAACACCAUACCCACCUGCAAAUCUGAGCUGGUCACCCUCAGAAGUGGUGGGAAGUUCUACCUGGCUGGAAUCCUUAGAUGACCAGCCUCAGACCCUACCCUGAGAACAUGUCCAGGGAGGGAGUAACCACUACAGCAAUUUUUGGCAAAGACCCAGGGCUAGUGUUGUCACACUCAGGAGUUUAUUACUAUUAUCACUUUCAUUUGAGAUAGGGUCUCACUCUGUCACCUCAGCUGGAGUGCAGUGACGUGAUCACAGCUCACUGUAGCUUCGACUUCCUGGGCUCAGGUGAUCCUCCAGCCUCAGCUUCCCAAGCAGCUUGGACUACAGGUGCAUGCCACCACACCUAGCUAAUUUUUAAACUUUUCGUAAACAUGGGGUCCCACUAUGUUGCCCAGCCUGGUCUUUAAUUCCUGGGCUCAAGCAAUCUUGCUGUCCCAGCUUUCCAAAGUACUGGGAUUAUAGGGGUGAGCCACCAUGCCUGGCCACACCGAGGAGUGUUUAAAUAGUACUUCGCAUGGCCUCAAAGCCCACACCCAUAUCCCACCCAAGGAAGGGGACAACCACCACAGCAAAUUUCAGCAAAGAGCUAGGACUUGACCUAGCACACCCAGGAGUUUAAAUAAUGCUCAGCCUAGUCUCAAAGCCCACCCCAAGACCUCACUUAAGCAGGUAGGCAAACCUCAACUGUGCAUUUUUACCAAGCAUAGUAGCUGGUCCCAUCCGUCCUAGUCAGUGACUCCACCUAACCUCAGAGUGCUUUCUACAACCCUGUUUAACUGCUGACUUUAAAUUGAGGUACCAACUGGCCAGAGAAUACUACACUUCAUGGCCCAGUCUAAUCAGAGGCAAAUUGCAGUGCCCAUCCAGCAGUCCAUCCUCACUGGAGAGUUCAGCUUAGUGGUCUUGCUGAGCUCUUGCUUGGGUAGCAGAUCCCAGCCAGCUGCCCCAUUCAAACUCACAGAAAAGGCAGCACACCAUCAAUGAAAGAACCCCCAAAUAAGCUCUGCAUAUUCAGGGUUGUUAUGAGCUGACGCAUUCAGAACCACAGGCUACACUAAACUGUGACAAUUAUUCCUACCAAAGAAUACCUGCAAAAACUGGAAAAGGUGGCUAUCACCUCAAAUAUGCAGACAGUAAUGUAAGGAUAGAAGGAUAACAUCCUUACAAGGGUAACAAAGACUCAGGAAAUCAUGACACCUCUAAAAAGAAAAAUCAACUAAAAUAGAUUUAACAAUGAACCCCAAGGAAAGGACAAUUUAUAAAAUGACAGACAAUGAGUUUAGAAAAAUCCUCUUAAAGAAGAUCAUGAACUACAAUAAUAUAGGGAUAGAAAAUUAAAUGAAAUUUGGAAAACAAUACAUGAACAAAAUGAGAACUUCAAUGAAAUAGAAAUAAUUCUUAAAAACCAACAGAAAUUCAAGAAUUGAAGAAUACAAUGACUGAACUGAAAAGAUGCAACUGAAAGCUCCCACAGCAGGUUUGAUCAAGCUAAAAGAAGAAUCAGUGAACUGGAAGAUAGAACAUUUGAUAUUAUCCAAUCAGAGUAGCAAAAAUUAAAAAAAAUAAA